rnacentral:rRNA from 1 species
GGCGUCUGGAAAGUUUUUCGGUCAAGGAUGGACUCGCGGCCUAUCAGCUAGUUGGUGAGGUAACGGCUCACCAAGGCGUCGACGGGUAGCCGGCCUGAGAGGGCGACCGGCCACACUGGGACUGAGACACGGCCCAGACUCCUACGGGAGGCAGCAGUGGGGAAUAUUGCACAAUGGGCGAAAGCCUGAUGCAGCGACGCCGCGUGAGGGAUGAAGGCCUUCGGGUUGUAAACCUCUUUCAGUAGGGAAGAAGCGACUGGGUUCUCUCAGACGUGACGGUACCUGCAGAAGAAGCGCCGGCUAACUACGUGCCAGCAGCCGCGGUAAUACGUAGGGCGCAAGCGUUGUCCGGAAUUAUUGGGCGUAAAGAGCUCGUAGGCGGUUUGUCGCGUCUGGUGUGAAAACUCAAGGCUCAACCUUGAGCUUGCAUCGGGUACGGGCAGACUAGAGUGUGGUAGGGGUGACUGGAAUUCCUGGUGUAGCGGUGGAAUGCGCAGAUAUCAGGAGGAACACCGAUGGCGAAAGCAGGUCACUGGGCCACUACUGACGCUGAGGAGCGAAAGCGUGGGGAGCAAACAGGAUUAAGC